AUUGAACGCUGGCGGCAGGCCUAACACAUGCAAGUCGAGCGGAUGAAGGGAGCUUGCUCCCUGAUUUAGCGGCGGACGGGUGAGUAAUGCCUAGGAAUCUGCCUGGUAGUGGGGGAUAACGUUCCGAAAGGAACGCUAAUACCGCAUACGUCCUACGGGAGAAAGCAGGGGACCUGCGGGCCUUGCGCUAUCAGAUGAGCCUAGGUCGGAUUAGCUAGUUGGUGAGGUAAUGGCUCACCAAGGCGACGAUCCGUAACUGGUCGGAGAGGAUGGUCAGUCACACUGGAACUGAGACACGGUCCAGACUCCUACGGGAGGCAGCAGUGGGGAAUAUUGGACAAUGGGCGAAAGCCUGAUCCAGCCAUGCCGCGUGUGUGAAGAAGGUCUUCGGAUUGUAAAGCACUUUAAGUUGGGAGGAAGGGCAUUAACCUAAUACGUUAGUGUUUUGACGUUACCGACAGAAUAAGCACCGGCUAACUUCGUGCCAGCCGCCGCAGUAAGAC
rnacentral:rRNA from 1 species